rnacentral:misc_RNA from 1 species
AUUCUAGUCACCUAAACAAUUUAUUGCCUCACCAGUUAUCAAAUCAGAAUGGAUUUCCGCAGUUACCACCACAGCAACAGCAGCAGCAGCAUAGGUUGCAGCAUCCUGUUCAGCCUCCAUUUGGUGGUUCCCUACCAGGUUUUCAGUCCCAUCUUUUAAAUUCCCACCUGUCUUCGGGCCCACCCCACUUAAUGAACAAGUUGG